rnacentral:rRNA from 1 species
GAUGAACGCUGGCGGCGUGCCUAAUACAUGCGAGUCGAGCGAACGGACGAGAAGCUUGCUUCUCUGAUGUUAGCGGCGGACGGGUGAGUAACACGUGGAUAACCUACCUAUAAGACUGGGAUAACUUCGGGAAACCGGAGCUAAUACCGGAUAAUAUUUUGAACCGCAUGGUUCAAAAGUGAAAGACGGUCUUGCUGUCACUUAUAGAUGGAUCCGCGCUGCAUUAGCUAGUUGGUAAGGUAACGGCUUACCAAGGCAACGAUGCAUAGCCGACCUGAGAGGGUGAUCGGCCACACUGGAACUGAGACACGGUCCAGACUCCUACGGGAGGCAGCAGUAGGGAAUCUUCCGCAAUGGGCGAAAGCUUGACGGAGCAACGCCGCGUGAGUGAUGAAGGUCUUCGGAUCGUAAAACUCUGUUAUUAGGGAAGAACAUAUGUGUAAGUAACUGUGCACAUCUUGACGGUACCUAAUCAGAAAGCCACGGCUAACUACGUG